rnacentral:lncRNA from 1 species
AGUCGCUGCCUCACCCGCGCCUGGCGCCCGCGGCUCCCUCCGCCUCGCCGGCGUUGGCCCACCCUCUCGUAGCUCACCCCGCGAGGCUGGACAGCUCCCGGAACCCCGGAACCGGGAUCUAUUUCGGGGGCUCGGCUGCGUGGCGCCCAGGACUCUCCAGGGUCUCCCAGGAUCGCUCCCCGAAUUCGAGUCGCCCCCUCUCUCUUUCGGGUCUGGAGGGGUCGGCAAGCUGCUCUCCCAGACGUGGAGAAGAGGGAGGGGGCUGGGAGCUCCAGCGGCCUCUCGACGCCGCUGCUUCUAAGGGGCUGUCCUGGGUUGUGGGGGAAGGGGCGCCUGGAGCUGAGCCAUGCAGCUCAGGGUUCCUUAUCCUAUCCCUAGGAAUACCAGCUGAUGUCAGUCCGCCAGCCAAAACCAGGGAGGAGAAGCGGGAGCCAGCCCUCUGGAGUCGGGAGAAGGUCUGGGGAGUGGGGUAGAGGGGAAAGCAAAGUCCAAAUACCUUCCCUUCAGACACCUCCUGGGGCCUAGACCCCACAAACCUGUUGUGGGGAGGGCAAAAUACGAUGACUACGUUCCCAGGAAGAAGGUGCCACAGCUCUUCAGGACCACGGUUGGGAGAAAGAAUGGAGGGGUUUUAGAACCUUCAGUGUGCGACUUCAUGUGCCAGUCUUCAUCUCAGGAUCUCAAGCUCUUGGAUCAUGGGCACGGAUAACCUGUUGUCCUCCUCUAUGGUCAAGAGGCUGCUUUUGCAAAGAAUCCAGUGGGAGAGAGUCAAUGGCCUGCUUGACGUGAACUCCAAAGUCCUCCUGAUCAGAAUACCAAUUUCUUACUGGGUCUGGAAAGGAGGAGAGAAGGAUAGAGAGUUUCUUCUAGGACCAAAUUGAUUCCUCCACAAAUAGGAAGAUCCCCAGACUGUGUGCACACACCCUCCUCCUCCUUCCUUCUCCAACCCUGGCUGGACCAUGACAUCACAUGGUGGAGGCUGUUUUUUAAAAAGAACUCAGGCCAGAUUUACAAGAAUGAUGCUCAGGCAGCGUGACUGUCAAGGACCGUGGCCAAGUGACCCAUAGCACACACCCAGCAGUGCUGAGAACAUAGCUAGUCCCUUAGCACCUGGGGCUGACUCAUGGUUGCUGUAGGACCCAAUGCCAGAUGCCAGGAUUGCUUUCUCCCUCCAUUCAUUAGGACUGUCCCAUGAAACCCUCCCCAGGAACCCUUCUACCCCAUCCCGGCAUGCCAGGAGCCUGGAUACUGCAUAACACAGGGUACUCAUAUUUGUUUACCAAGCCUUGAAGAUGACAGGCAAUAUGCUGAUAUGCUCAAUGCAUCAUACAAAUUGUUUUAUUUAAAACUGAACUAUUAAAUUAAGUAUCAUAGCAACUCACUUUACAGACAAGGAAACUGAAGCUCAAAGGUUAAGUAAGGGCCAGGCAUGGUGGCUCACUCCUGUAAUCCCAGCAGUUUGGGAGGCUGAGGUGGGAGGAGGAUUGCUUAAGCCCGCGAGUUUGAGACCAGCCUAGGCAAUAUAGGGAGACCCCAUCUCUACAAAAAAUUAUCUGGGCCUGGUGAUGUGUGCCUGUAGUCCCAGCUACUUGAGAGGCUGAGGUGGGAGGAUUGCUUGAGCCCAGAAGUUGAGGCUGCAGUGAGCCAUGAUCAUGCCAUUGUACUCCAGCCUGGGCAGCAAAGCAAAACCCUGUAUUGAAAACAAACAAACAGGCUGGGCACGGUGGCUCACACCUGUAAUCCCAACACUUUGGGAGGCCGAGGCAGGUGGAUCACCUGAGGUCAGGAGUUAGAGACCAGCCUGGCCAACAUGGUGAAACCCGCCUCUACUGAAAAUACAAAAAUUAGCAGGGCAUUGUGGCACAUGCCAAGGUGGGCAGAUCACCUGAGGUCAGGAGUUCGAGACCAGCCUGGCCAACAUGGUGAAACCCCAUCUCUACUAAAAAUACAAAAAUUAGCUGGGCGUGGUGGUGGGCGCCUGUAGUCCCAGCUACUCAGGAGGCUGAGGCAGGAGAAUCGCUUGAACCUGGGAGGUGGAGGUUGCAGUAAGCCAAGAUAGUGCCACUGCACUCCAGCCUGGGCGACAGAC